ACUGUGGGACAAACAUGCUUAAGCAAUGUAUGAUUUUACAGGAAAAUAUGAAGAUAAAACUGAUGACAUCUUUUUCCCUGUCUUCUUUAUAGCUGAAAGUAGUCUGCAUAUAAGAACAUUUUCCUCUAAGUGUAAAGCAUCUUUUUUCCCCCUGAAAAUUUGUAAAGGAUUCUGUUCUUUGAUUUACAUAUACACAAGCUACAAGGAGUAGCUGAAAAGGAGUUAUGAGCUGCAUCUCCAUCUGUUCCCUGAACCUGGGAUUGGGAUGAAUUCCCUUCUCCCUCAGGACUGCCACAAGAUGACCUCAGAGAGACCACAAGGCUGACGAAUCUGUGGAGUACACAGAUUUGUACACUACUCUCUGCAUGAGAUCCUGAGAAGUUAAAGAUGCAUUUCUAUAGUUGGGAAGAUACAACUUGUUUCUGAGAUCCUGUACUGUGAGAACUUUUCACGUGGAGUAUGUGCAAGGGAGGGUGCCAGUGAGUAUUAUCCAACACUUUCCCUUCCUCAAGGUCAAAGACUGAUCAAAGAACAUCAGUUGAGAAGUAUGUAAUAAAGGAGGCAUAUAACUGUACAAAGGUCUGCUUAAUCCUUUUGCAGGUCUGCAGAACUGUGAAGACAGUAAAAUGCAAUUUAUACUCUUGCAAGAUAAUUGCUUAUAAUAUCAAACAUAAAACCAUUUCAAGGCUGGGAAAUGUGAGAAAAAGAUUCUUUACACUCUUGGUGGUGCUCAAAAGUGACCUACAAUCUGGUCCAACCAAAAGCGAAGUUGGGCGCAUCUGCAAGCACAUUACUGAAUAUCUUUGUUGCCUGGUUUUCUCCCAGGCUCCACUUUGGAGUAAGCCAGCUAUUUCCUUUCAAGAGGAGACCUAGAUACAGUUAACAUGAUAAUUUGUUCCAGGGUCUGUUCCUGACAGGCUGUAUGGAUGCAGCCCACGUCAAUGUUGACUCUUUCCAUCUAGGACAUUCCUCCUACAUUAUCCCAUGCGGUAAUGCAGCACAUAUCCGUGGUGUCAUGCUAUGAAAAACACAGCUGUACCAGACUGCAUCACAAUCCUCACUUUAUUUUAGGCAUCGUGAACUGGAAAAUGAUGACAAGUACUUAGCCUACCCUUGACCUAAAGGAAUCCCUACAGGAGUGGGAUGCCUUUAAUUUAUAGCCUCAGCCAGUACAUCCUGGGGAGCCUGGUGAGGUCAGUGCUGGCUGUUCUGUUGUGCCUUUAAAUGCUGAGAUUUCUCAGAUAUUAACACAGGAGAGAUUCUGUGAGACCACUUGGAGAAUGUAAGGUGAAUAAAGUCUUCAUCUAUUGGUAUAUCCUUUGUUCA
rnacentral:lncRNA from 1 species